rnacentral:rRNA from 1 species
GACGAACGCUGGCGGCGUGCUUAACACAUGCAAGUCGAACGCUGAAGCUCAGCUUUUGUUGGGUGGAUGAGUGGCGAACGGGUGAGUAACACGUGAGUAACCUGCCUCCUUCUUUGGGAUAACGCCCGGAAACGGGUGCUAAUACUGGAUAUUCACUGGUCUUCGCAUGGGGGUUGGUGGAAAGGGUUUUUCUGGUGGGGGAUGGGCUCGCGGCCUAUCAGCUUGUUGGUGGGGUGAUGGCCUACCAAGGCUUUGACGGGUAGCCGGCCUGAGAGGGUGACCGGUCACAUUGGGACGGAGAUACGGCCCAGACUCCUACGGGAGGCAGCAGUGGGGAAUAUUACACAAUGGGCGCAAGCCUGAUGCAGCGACGCCGCGUGAGGGAUGGAGGCCUUCGGGUUGUGAACCUCUUUCGCUCAUGGUCAAGCCGCAACAAUGGUUGUGGUGAGGGUAGUGGGUAAAGAAGCGCCGGCUAACUACGUG